AUACGUAGGGUGCGAGCGUUGUCCGGAAUUACUGGGCGUAAAGAGCUCGUAGGUGGUUUGUCGCGUCGUAUGUGAAAUUCCGGGGCUUAACUCCGGGCGUGCAGGCGAUACGGGCAUAACUUGAGUACUGUAGGGGAGACUGGAAUUCAUGGUGUAGCGGUGAAAUGCGCAGAUAUCAGGAGGAACCCCGGUGGCGAAGGCGGGUCUCUGGGCAGUAACUGACGCUGAGGAGCGAAAGCAUGGGUAGCGAACAGGAUUAGAUACCCUGGUAGUCCAUGCCGUAAACGGUGGGCGCUAGGUGUAGGGGUCUUCCACGACUUCUGUGCCGUAGCUAACGCAUUAAGCGCCCCGCCUGGGGAGUACGGCCGCAAGGCUAAAACUCAAAGGAAUUGACGGGG
rnacentral:rRNA from 1 species